rnacentral:misc_RNA from 1 species
GGCAAAUACAAUGUCAUUGAAACAAUAUUCAUAUUGUUCAGAGUUUUCCUUGAACUUCUUUACGGAAACGGGUCUUUGUUGCAAAACACCCUUGUACAGCUUAUAGCCUGAAUCACGAGUUAUAAUCUUCUGUGGAUCAUAGUCAUUUGUUGCUCUCUUGAGCUCAUCAGCAGGAUAGAUACGAAUAGGAUUACAUUUCCCAUCACAAGUGGCAAUUAGCUUCUCUAGUAACAUUCCUCCAUUCUUCAUGAAUGCUGUUUCCAUUUCUGGUUUCUUAUCCCUCUUGAUUCUCCAACAUGAAGUCAUUUCACCUGUCUGCUUGCUGCCGAUGAUAGAGUCAGAUAUGAGGUAAAUAAGAAAGCGAUCUGAGAG